rnacentral:miRNA from 1 species
GGUCAGCUGACACAUCCCUGCCAAUCUCCGGCAGACCCUCCCUCCCAGAUCCUCCUACUUCCUGGACAGCAUACAUGUUGAAGGCAGCUUCAACAUGGAUGCUGUCCAGGAGGUGGGAGGGUCUGGGAGGGAGCGUCUGCCGGAGAUUGGCAGGGAUGUGUCAGCUG